GCUUACGGCCAUACCACCCUGAACACGCACCGAUCUCGUCAGAGAAGCUAAGCAGGGUCGGGCCUGGUUAGUACUUGGAUGGGAGACCGCCUGGGAAUACCAGGUGCUGUAAGCU
rnacentral:rRNA from 1 species